rnacentral:sRNA from 1 species
GUCCGUUGAGGGCCCGCGCCGCAUGGAGGCCGGCUAAGGAGCGCCGCUGCCUCGCCUCGGUACGCCGCGCGGCGCGGACGGCGCGCUCCCCACGGGUGCAGGAAGCCGCCGCCCGGCCAUGGACGGGGAGGAGCAGCAGCCACCGCAUGAGGCCGACGUGGAACCUGUUGUGCCAUCGGAGGCUUCAGAGCCGGUGCCCAGGGUGCUUUCUGGAGACCCCCAGAACCUGUCCGAUGUGGACGCCUUCAACCUGCUCCUGGAGAUGAAGCUGAAGCGGCGGCGUCAGCGGCCCAACCUGCCGCGCACUGUGACCCAGUUGGUGGCUGAGGACGGGAGCAGGGUGUACGUGGUGGGGACAGCCCACUUCAGCGACGACAGCAAGAGGGACGUUGUGAAGACCAUCCGGGAGGUGCAGCCUGACGUGGUGGUCGUGGAGCUCUGCCAAUACCGUGUGUCCAUGCUGAAGAUGGACGAGAGCACGCUUCUGCGGGAGGCCCAGGAGCUCAGCCUGGAGAAGCUGCAGCAGGCCGUGAGGCAGAACGGGCUCAUGUCGGGGCUGAUGCAGAUGCUGCUGCUGAAGGUGUCUGCGCACAUCACCGAGCAGCUGGGCAUGGCCCCAGGCGGCGAGUUCAGGGAGGCCUUCAAGGAGGCCAGCAAGGUGCCUUUCUGCAAGUUCCACCUGGGUGACCGGCCCAUCCCCGUCACCUUCAAGAGGGCCAUCGCAGCGCUCUCUUUCUGGCAGAAGGUCAGGCUGGCUUGGGGCCUGUGCUUCCUGUCAGACCCCAUCAGCAAGGAUGACGUGGAACGCUGCAAGCAGAAGGACCUACUGGAGCAGAUGAUGGCCGAGAUGAUUGGCGAGUUCCCGGACCUGCACCGCACCAUCGUCUCGGAGCGCGACGUCUACCUAACCUACAUGCUGCGCCAGGCCGCGCGGCGCCUCGAGCUGCCUCGGGCCUCUGACGGUGACGGCCGCCCGCAGGCGUGGGACCCCCUGUGAGGCUGAGGCCCGAGCAGGUACUGACCCCUUGUCCUUCCCCACAGCCGAGCCCAGGAAGUGCGUCCCCUCCGUGGUCGUGGGCGUCGUGGGCAUGGGCCACGUGCCUGGCAUCGAGAAGAACUGGAGCACCGACCUCAACAUCCAGGAGAUCAUGACCGUGCCCCCGCCGUCCGUCUCCGGCAGAGUGUCUCGGUUGGCCGUGAAGGCCGCCUUCUUCGGCCUGCUGGGCUACAGCCUGUACUGGAUGGGCCGCCGCACUGCGAGCCUGGUCCUGUCGCUGCCCGCCGCGCAGUACUGCCUGCAGAGGGUGACCGAGGCCCGGCACAAGUAGGAGACUGCUCCCCGCCCGCUCGGGCCCCUGAGGAGCCAGUGCCCCCGCGGCACUUCUGGGUGCCAGGUGCAUCCUAGCCUGCCCGAGGCCCCUGCCACCCCCCAUGGGGGUCUGGGCCCGGCUUCGCCUGCCUUCCUGGGCCAGUCACCCCUCCCCCAGCCCACCCAAAUAAAGGAUUAUUUAACUGUCUGAGCUCAGGCCUCCCGGCAGCCCCUCCCCUCCCACACUGCAGGGGCCGUUCCCCGGCUUCUGGACAAGACACCCAGCUCCGAGGGGGCAGGGGCUUGUAGGAGGGGCCGAGGCGUGCGCUGCCCUCUCAGCCCUGGUGGCGGGCGGGGGACAAUGGCCACUGUCCCUACCUCACUGUGCCUUCCUGUGCUCCGGCCACAGGAGCGUCGGCCCAGGGGCGGCUCCUGGGGGCUCCAGGGCAGGCGAGACUGGGAAAGGCCCAGCCCUGGAGCUCCAGCCGACCCCACCGUGCCCCUGGCAUCCUGGCCCUGGCCGCCACCUCCCUGGUACCGUCUGCCUGCAGGGAUUCUGUGUUUUUGGCUUUUUUAAUGUCUUAAAAUCUUUUACUCAGGUAAUUUUAAUUUCAAAGAGAAAAACUGAAGUAAAUGUCAAAAAACACCAGCCUUAAAUCCAGAGGGACAGAAUUCGUGUUCUUGGGUCUGUCCCGAGUGGGCUCGCGUGCAGCCAAACAUCAGCUCUGGGUCCAGGCGUGGCCUCAGCUGGGAGCCUGUGUCCUGAGCCCCUGGAGCAAAGGGGUGCCUGGGGUGUCUUGGCCCUCUCUGGACAGACAAUGUGUGCACCUAUGUGGAAGGCCAAGGACAUGGGCUGUGGCCAGGCCUGUCCCGCUCAGGCCCCCUGCCCGGCGGCCGUCUGUGUGCGGGGCCUCCCUCCUGGCUGUCCAGGACACGGCCCGUGCAGCCCCAGCCUGGACCCAGGCCAUCUCUGGUUGUGUCUGUGCCGACUCAGUGUUGAAUCAAAUCAGGUGUGCGUCAGGAGCCGGCUGUGUCCUUCCUGCCACACUCGGGGAUUCAUUCCUUAGAAACUGAAAUAAAUUCUAAUUUUGGAAA